AUGAAAUGUAUGUUUAGAGAAUUAUCCAUUCUCCGUUAGGUUCUUGAUGUUUGAGGCUGAAGAGUCGGAAUCACUCCAGAGUCAAAACCAAAACUUUUGAAAUUUUGCCGCAGAACCCCAGGCAACUCCGUCUUUCUGCAGCAGAGGAGCCGAGAGGCUGAUUAGAGCAUCUUGUCCUUCAGACGACACAUGAUGUGAAAUGAUUCCUUCUCCCUCAUGGAGAUUCAAGACAAAUAUUUCAGAGAGUGACUUUUUUCCCCCAUCUUAAAACGAUUCCCAUCGCUGCUGCUUUCAUGAAACUGGAGACAAUCAGGAAAGUUUUUACCUCAUCCAGGGGACAAAAUGUCAUUUUAGAGUAUUAUUGGUAAAUCUUGGAAUAAAGCAAUACAUCUGUGAUAUUAAAUAUUGUGUAAAUCAUUUUUAUCUACUAUGAGACUCUGUCUAAAUAUUAAAUUAGCAUGAAUGAUGCAAAUUCAUAACACCUGGAAUAUAUUAAAAACUAAACAAUUGUGAUAUAAAUACAAACCAAAUGAUAUUGUGAUGAUAACUUUUAGAUGAAUCCUAUAAAACUGUUUUAAAUAUUUUUCAAACUUUUUCCCACGGGCACUACAACUGUCAAGUUUUAUCUCUGUGGUGCCAUCAUAUUAAAAUGAAAGCUUAAAGUCUGGUUCAUACUGUAUAAGAUGAUUGUUUUGUGUUGUUGCCAUUUUUUAUUUUUUUAUUUUUUGGUAGGUGAAAAUCUUUUG